rnacentral:rRNA from 1 species
AUUGAACGCUGGCGGAAUGCUUUACACAUGCAAGUCGAACGGCAGCACGGGGGCAACCCUGGUGGCGAGUGGCGAACGGGUGAGUAAUACAUCGGAACGUGCCCAGUCGUGGGGGAUAACGUAGCGAAAGCUACGCUAAUACCGCAUACGAACUCUGGUUGAAAGCGGGGGAUCGCAAGACCUCGCGCGAUUGGAGCGGCCGAUGGCAGAUUAGGUAGUUGGUGGGGUAAAGGCCUACCAAGCCGACGAUCUGUAGCUGGUCUGAGAGGACGACCAGCCACACUGGGACUGAGACACGGCCCAGACUCCUACGGGAGGCAGCAGUGGGGAAUUUUGGACAAUGGGCGCAAGCCUGAUCCAGCCAUUCCGCGUGCAGGAUGAAGGCCCUCGGGUUGUAAACUGCUUUUGUACGGAACGAAACGGCGACCGCUAAUACCGGUUGCUAAUGACGGUACCGUAAGAAUAAGCACCGGCCAACUACGUGCCAGCAGCCGCCGUAA